AGACUAAUAGGAAAAGGGGUAGAGAGUAGCUUGCUCCAUAGAAACAAAACUUUCUCUUCUCUUUUACAGGAACUCUUGAAGCUGCAUGGAAAACUCAUCACAAAUGUUUGGAGGUAUGUUUUCUUGUUAAUUUUCUUCACAGUUUUGACAAGAGAUCUUGGUGAUCUCGGAUUUAUUCAAAAUCCAACAAACCAAUCUUAAAAGUUGUGGAGCUCACAUAAUCUAUAAGCAUGAAGAGAAUGAGAGCUUAACAGUUGGGGAGUGCUCAGUAGAUUCAUCGAAUCGUAUCCAACUUUCUAAGGGACGCCGAGCUGAUGAAGACAACAACUUGGAAUUCAACAAGCAUCCACAACACAAAAGGCGCUCUCCAAACUUGGGUAAUUCAAAUGUGGUUAUCGAUUGCGCAGGUGUUGACGGUGAUUUCGCAAAAGCAGAAGGAGGCUCUGAGGGAAGUUUAAAAGAAGAAGAAGUACCUGCCUCACGAUCUGCAUCCCAAGAAAGCCAGGGAAUUCAUAGAAGGCUUACUAGGCACUAGGAUUUUACGCUGCCAGUGCAAAAGGGUUUCUCAAAUGAUGGGCAAAAGUCAAAGCAAAUUUGGAGGAAACAUGUGUGGCUAGUGUUGUUGCUGGACUUGUUUGUGUGCUCGGUGUUGUUCGUGAUAUGGUUGUGGGUUUGCGGGGGGUUUAACUGCAUUGUAGAUUAAUUUGGGAUUGAAUGGUUGAGUUGGGGGCGUGUUGGUUCUCUCUCUCUGUUUUUUUCUUCCAAAGGUCUGGGAGGAGGUGGGGUUGGUUGUAGGACAGAGGCAUGACUUUCACGAGCCAUUGGUGUAUGAUGAGGACGUAUAAGCAAGUGUUGUUGAUUUCUUCUUUUGGUAAUUUACUUGGAAUUUUCUGCUAAAUCUUUGUAUGAACUUCAAGACAAGUAAUACAGCUCUUUUUGUACGGUUCAUUUAUAUUA